UUUUGGCGUUAGGGUUAAAAUCACUGUCCAAAACCUUUGUAGGAACUCUUUUCCAACCUUUUGGAGUUAGUUAGACCAAAAAAAAAUAUGAAAAAAGAAAAAAAUAUUUGGGGUUUUCGGGCUUCCUGAAGUAAUACCCGGGUAUUAGGUUUUGGGGCUAGGUAAGGUUUAAGUUUUUGGCGUUAGGGUUAAAAUCACUGUCCAAAACCUUUGUAGGAACUCUUUUCCAACCUUUUGGAGUUAGUUAGACCAAAAAAAAUGAAAAAAGAAAAAAAUAUUAUUGGGGGUAUUAUUAGGUUUUGGGGCUAUGGUAAGGUUUAAGUUUUUUGGCAUUAGGGUUAAAAUCACUGUCCAAAACCUUUGUAGGAACUCUUUUCCAACCUUUUGGAGUUAGUUAGACCAAAAAAUAUGAAAAAAGAAAAAAAUAUUAUUGGGGGUUUUCGGGCUCCAUGAAAGUAAUACCCGGGUAUUAGGUUUUGGGGCUAUAGUAAGGUUUAAGUUUUUUGGCGUUAGGGUUAAAAUCACUGUCCAAAACCUUUGUAGGAACUCUUUUCCAACCUUUUGGAGUUAGUUAGACCAAAAAAAAAAGAAAAAUGAAAAAAAAAUAUUUGGGGUGUUCAGGCUUCCUAAAAGUAAUACCCGGGUAUUAGGUUAUGGGGCUAUGGUAAGGUUUAAGGUUUUUGGCGUUAGGGUUAAAAUCACUGUCCAAAACCUUUGUAGGAACUCUUUUCCAACCUUUUGGAGUUAGUGAGACCAAAAAAAAAUGAAAAAUGAAAAAAAAAAUAUUUGGGGUUUUCGGGCUUCCUGAAUGUAAUACCCGCGUAUUAGAUUUUAAGGCUAGGGAAAGGUUUAAGUUUUUUGGCGUUAGGGUUAAAAUCACUGUCCAAAACCUUUGUAGGAACUCUUUUCCAACCUUUUGGAGUUAGUUAGACCAAAACAUAUGAAAAAAGAAAAAAAUAUUAUUGGGGGUUUUCGGGCUCCCUGAAAGUAAUACCCGGGUAUUAGGUUAUGGGGCUAUGGUAAGGUUUAAGGUUUUUGGCGUUAGGGUUAAAAUCACUGUCCAAAACCUUUGUAGGAACUCUUUUCCAACCUUUUGGAGUUAGUUAGACCAAAAAAUAUGAAAAAAGAAAAAAAUAUUAUUGGGGGUUUUCGGGCUCCCUGAAAGUAAUACCCAGGUAUUAGGUUUUGGGGCUAUGGUAAGGUUUAAGUUUUUUGGCGUUAGGGUUAAAAUCACUGUCCAAAACCUUUGUAGGAACUCUUUUCCAACCUUUUGGAGUUAGUUAGACCAAAAAAAAAUGAAAAAUUAAAAAACAAUAUUUGGGGUUUCUGGGUUCCUGAAUGUAAUACCCGGGUAUUAGAUUUUGAGGCUAGGGUAAGGUUUAAGUUUUUUGGCAUUAGGGUUAAAAUCACUGUCCAAAACCUUUGUAGGAACUCUUUUCCAACCUUUUGGAGUUAGUUAGACCAAAAAAAAAAAAAAAUGAAAAAAAAAAUAUUUGGGGUGUUCAGGCUUCCUGAAGGUAAUACCCGGGUAUUAGGUUAUGGGGCUAUGGUAAGGUUUAAGGUUUUUGGCGUUAGGGUUAAAAUCACUGUCCAAAACCUUUGUAGGAACUCUUUUCCAACCUUUUGGAGUUAGUUAGACCAAAAAAAAAAGAAAAAUGAAAAAAAAAUAUUUGGGGUGUUCAGGCUUCCUAAAAGUAAUACCCGGGUAUUAGGUUAUGGGGCUAUGGUAAGGUUUAAGGUUUUUGGCGUUAGGGUUAAAAUCACUGUCCAAAACCUUUGUAGGAACUCUUUUCCAACCUUUUGGAGUUAGUUAAACCAAAAAAAAAUGAAAAAUGAAAAAAAAAAUAUUUGGGGUUUUCGGGCUUCCUGAAUGUAAUACCCGGGUAUUAGAUUUUGAGGCUAGGGUAAGGUUUAAGUUUUUUGGCAUUAGGGUUAAAAUCACUGUCCAAAACCUUUGUAGGAACUCUUUUCCAACCUUUUGGAGUUGGUUACACCAACAAAAAUGUAAUACAGGUAUUAGAUUUUAAGGCUAGGGUAAGGUUUAAGUUUUUUGGCGUUAGGGUUAAAAUCACUGUCCAAAACCUUUGUAGGAACUCUUUUCCAACCUUUUGGAGUUAGUUAGACCAAAACAUAUGAAAAAAGAAAAAAAUAUUAUUGGGGGUUUUCGGGCUCCCUGAAAGUAAUACCCGGGUAUUAGGUUUUGGGGCUAUGGUAAGGUUUAAGGUUUUUGGCGUUAGGGUUAAAAUCACUGUCCAAAACCUUUGUAGGAACUCUUUUCCAACCUUUUGGAGUUAGUUAGACCAAAAAAAAAUGAAAAAUGAAAAAAAAAAUAUUUGGGGUUUUCGGGGUUCCUGAAUGUAAUACCCGGGUAUUAGAUUUUGAGGCUAGGGUAAGGUUUAAGUUUUUUGGCAUUAGGGUUAAAAUCACUGUCCAAAACCUUUGUAGGAACUCUUUUCCAACCUUUUGGAGUUAGUUACACCAAAAAAAAUGUAAAAUGAAGAAAAAAAUAUUUGGGGUGUUCAGGCUUCCUGAAGGUAAUACCCGGGUAUUAGAUUUCAAGGCUAGGGUAAGGUUUAAGGUUUUUGGCGUUAGGGUUAAAAUCACUGUCCAAAACCUUUGUAGGAACUCUUUUCCAACCUUUUGGAGUUAGUUAGACAAAAAAAAAAGAAAAAUGAAAAAAAUAUUAUUGGGGGUUUUCGGGCUCCCUGAAAGUAAUACCCUUGUAUUAGGUUUUGGGACUAGGGAAAGGUUUAAGGUUUUUGGCGUUAGGGUUAAAAUCACUGUCCAAAACCUUUGUAGGAACUCUUUUCCAACCUUUUGGAGUUAGUUAGACCAAAAAAAAAAAAAGAAAAUGAAAAAAAAAUAUUUGGGGUGUUCAGGCUUCCUAAAAGUAAUACCCGGGUAUUAGGUUAUGGGGCUAUGGUAAGGUUUAAGGUUUUUGGCGUUAGGGUUAAAAUCACUGUCCAAAACCUUUGUAGGAACUCUUUUUCAACCUUUUGGAGUUAGUUAGACCAAAAAAAAAUGAAAAAUUAAAAAAUAUAUAUUUGGGGUGUUCAGGCUUCCUAAAAGUAAUACCCGGGUAUUAGGUUUUGGGGCUAUGGUAAGGUUUAAGUUUUUUGGCGUUAGGGUUAAAAUCACUGUCCAAAACCUUUGUAGGAACUCUUUUCCAACCUUUUGGAGUUAGUUAGACCAAAAAAAAAUGAAAAAUGAAAAAACAAUAUUUGGGGUUUUCGGGGUUCCUGAAUGUAAUACCCGGGUAUUAGAUUUUGAGGCUAGGGUAAGGUUUAAGUUUUUUGGCAUUAGGGUUAAAAUCACUGUCCAAAACCUUUGUAGGAACUCUUUUCCAACCUUUUGGAGUUAGUUAGACCAAAAAAUAUGAAAAAAGAAAAAAAUAUUAUUGGGGGUUUUCGGGCUCCCUGAAAGUAAUACCCGGGUAUUAGAUUUUGGGGCUAGGGUAAGGUUUAAGGUUUUUGGCGUUAGGGUUAAAAUCACUGUCCAAAACCUUUGUAGGAACUCUUUUCCAACCUUUUGGAGUUAGUUAGACCAAAAAAAUGAAAAAAGAAAAAAUUUUGGGGGUUUUCGGGCUUCCUGAAAGUAAUACCCGGGUAUUAGGUUUUGGGGCUAGGGAAAGGUUUAAGGGUUUUGGCGUUAGGGUUAAAAUCACUGUCCAAAACCUUUGUAGGAACUCUUUUCCAACCUUUUGGAGUUAGUUAGACCAAAAAAAAAAAAGAAAAUGAAAAAAAAAUAUUUGGGGUGUUCAGGCUUCCUAAAAGUAAUACCCGGGUAUUAGGUUAUUGGGCUAUGGUAAGGUUUAACGUUUUGGCGUUAGGUUUAAAAUCACUGUCCAAAACCUUUGUAGGAACUCUUUUCCAACCUUUUGGAUUUAGUUAGACCAAAAAAAAAAGAAAAAUGAAAAAAAAAAUAUUUGGGGUGUUCAGGCUUCCUAAAAGUAAUACCCGGGUAUUAGGUUAUGGGGCUAUGGUAAGGUUUAAGGUUUUUGGCGUUAGGGUUAAAAUCACUGUCCAAAACCUUUGUAGGAACUCUUUUUCAACCUUUUGGAGUUAGUUAGACCAAAAAAAAAAUGAAAAAUGAAAAAAAAAUAUUUGGGGUUUACGGGCUUCCUAAAAGUAAUACCCGGGUAUUAGGUUAUGGGGCUAUGGUAAGGUUUAAGGUUUUUGGCGUUAGGGUUAAAAUCACUGUCCAAAACCUUUGUAGGAACUCUUUUCCAACCUUUUGGAGUUAGUUAGACCAAAAAAUAUGAAAAAAGAAAAAAAUAUUAUUGGGGGUUUUCGGGCUCCCUGAAAGUAAUACCCGGGUAUUAGGUUUUGGGGCUAUAGUAAGGUUUAAGUUUUUUGGCGUUAGGGUUAAAAUCACUGUCCAAAACCUUUGUAGGAACUCUUUUCCAACCUUUUGGAGUUAGUUAGACCAAAAAAAAAAAAAGAAAAAUGAAAAAAAAAGUAUUUGGGGUGUUCAGGCUUCCUAAAAGUAAUACCCGGGUAUUAGGUUAUGGGGCUAUGGUAAGGUUUAAGGUUUUUGGCAUUAGGGUUAAAAUCACUGUCCAAAACCUUUGUAGGAACUCUUUUCCAACCUUUUGGAGUUAGUUAGACCAAAAAAAAAUGAAAAAUGAAAAAAAAUAUAUUUGGGGUGUUCAGGCUUCCUAAAAGUAAUACCCGGGUAUUAGGUUAUGGGGCUAUGGUAAGGUUUAAGGUUUUUGGCGUUAGGGUUAAAAUCACUGUCCAAAACCUUUGUAGGAACUCUUUUCCAACCUUUUGGAGUUAGUUAGACCAAAAAAAAAAAGAAAAAUGAAAAAAAAAAUAUUUGGGGUGUUCAGGCUUCCUAAAAGUAAUACCCGGGUAUUAGGUUAUGGGGCUAUGGUAAGGUUUAAGGUUUUUGGCGUUAGGGUUAAAAUCACUGUCCAAAACCUUUGUAGGAACUCUUUUCCAACCUUUUGGAGUUGGUUACACCAAAAAAAAUGUAAAAUGAAAAAAAAAAAAUAUUUGGGGUGUUCGGGCUUCCUGAAUGUAAUACCCGGGUAUUAGAUUUUAAGGCCAGGGUAAGGUUUAAGUUUUUUGGCAUUAGGGUUAAAAUCACUGUCCAAAACCUUUGUAGGAACACUUUUCCAACCUUUUGGAGUUGGUUAGACCAAAAAAAAAAAGAAAAAUGAAAAAAAAAUAUUUGGGGUGUUCAGGCUUCCUAAAAGUAAUACCCGGGUAUUAGGUUAUGGGGCUAUGGUAAGGUUUAAGGUUUUUGGCAUUAGGGUUAAAAUCACUGUCCAAAACCUUUGUAGGAACUCUUUUCCAACCUUUUGGAGUUAGUUACACCAAAAAAAAUGUAAAAUGAAGAAAAAAAUAUUUGGGGUGUUCAGGCUUCCUGAAGGUAAUACCCGGGUAUUAGAUUUCAAGGCUAGGGUAAGGUUUAAGGUUUUUGGCGUUAGGGUUAAAAUCACUGUCCAAAACCUUUGUAGGAACUCUUUUCCAACCUUUUGGAGUUAGUUAGACCAAAAAAUAUGAAAAAAGAAAAAAAUAUUAUUGGGGGUUUUCGGGCUCCCUGAAAGUAAUACCCGUGUAUUAGGUUUUGGGACUAGGGAAAGGUUUAAGGGUUUUGGCGUUAGGGUUAAAAUCACUGUCCAAAACCUUUGUAGGAACUCUUUUCCAACCUUUUGGAGUUAGUUAGACCAAAAAAAAAGAAAAAUGAAAAAAAAAUAUUUGGGGUGUUCAGGCUUCCUAAAAGUAAUACCCGGGUAUUAGGUUAUGGGGCUAUGGUAAGGUUUAAGGUUUUGGCGUUAGGGUUAAAAUCACUGUCCAAAACCUUUGUAGGAACUCUUUUCCAACCUUUUGGAGUUAGUUAGACCAAAAAAAAUGAAAAAUGAAAAAAAAUAUAUUUGGGGUGUUCGGGCUUCCUAAAAGUAAUACCCGGGUAUUAGGUUAUGGGGCUAUGGUAAGGUUUAAGGUUUUUGGCGUUAGGGUUAAAAUCACUGUCCAAAACCUUUGUAGGAACUCUUUUCCAACCUUUUGGAGUUAGUUAGACCAAAAAAAAAUGAAAAAUGAAAAAAAAUAUAUUUGGGGUUUACGGGCUUCCUGAAUGUAAUACCCGGGUAUUAGAUUUUAAGGCCAGGGAAAGGUUUAAGUUUUUUGGCGUUAGGGUUAAAAUCACUGUCCAAAACCUUUGUAGGAACUCUUUUCCAACCUUUUGGAGUUAGUUAGACCAAAAAAUAUGAAAAAAGAAAAAAAUAUUAUUGGGGGUAUUAUUAGGUUUUGGGGCUAUGGUAAGGUUUAAGUUUUUUGGCGUUAGGGUUAAAAUCACUGUCCAAAACCUUUGUAGGAACUCUUUUCCAACCUUUUGGAGUUAGUUAGACAAAAAAAAAAAGGAAAAUGAAAAAAAAAUAUUUGGGGUGUUCAGGCUUCCUAAAAGUAAUACCCGGGUAUUAGGUUAUGGGGCUAUGGUAAGGUUUAAGGUUUUUGGCGUUAGGGUUAAAAUCACUGUCCAAAACCUUUGUAGGAACUCUUUUCCAACCUUUUGGAGUUAGUUAGACCAAAAAAAAAUGAAAAAUUAAAAAAAAUAUAU
rnacentral:lncRNA from 1 species